UCUCCCUCCAAUUUCUAUCCCCAUCUCCACUCCUCUCCCCCACGACUGCAUCCAGCGGCGAGAUUUGAGGAUCACGCCGCCGGCGCACCCUGCGGCACCAGCCGCGUAAUCCUUCUCCAAUGACGGCUGCUCACCCGCCCUCCCAUCAAGCCCCGGCCGCUGCGCUUGCUCUCCACAAGGACCGGUCGCCACGCCUCGCCGGCCAAGAUCGGAUCCGCCAACCCGCGUCAUCGAAGUCGCCAGCCUCUGCAGGCAACAUCAUAGCCGCUCGCCUCAUCGUCACCAUCGCCCACUCCAGCGCCUUCCCCAGCUUCCUUUCUCACCUCGUGCCUUACCAAGAUCUCGACCAACAAGAUGCCAGCGUCUGGAGACAACAGGUUAGGGAGAUUCAACACGAUGAUGCAGUGAGGCUAGGGGAUAGGUGAGAAACUCUGCAAGGAACCCCGCUGCAAUACCAUUAGAUCUGGUCCCCUUCCAACUAUUCGAGGUUCAUCUAGAUAAGGAGUAAGAUCAAUGCCCUUUGCUCUUCUCAAAGAUUCAGGAAGCAUCGUACAACAGCAGUGCGAGUACACAAUUAGCUGUAGCUGCAGAAGAAGAUGAGCACCAUGAGGAUUUAGCCGCGAGACUUGAAGCACAAGAUAGAGAAUUUGAAGAGAUGCAAAGAAGAGCCAACAAGAGAAGAAUGAAGCCCGGCAAAAGAAGCAACAUGAGAUGGAUAACUUGAUUGGAUUUCUUUUAAGGGCUCAAGCAACCAAGCAAGCAAAUCAGUCCAACCUGAUGGUGCAUGAAGGCCAUCAUUUUGUGAAAGAAAGAUAGUUGUUUAAUCAUAUAUUGCAAUCAUCAGGACAACAUAUGUGGUCUUUUAGUUAUCUAAAUAUUACUUUUCGUCUUA